GGGGUGCCUAAUACAUGCAAGUCGAGCGAACAGACGAGGAUUUUGCUCCUCUGACGUUAGCGGCGGACGGGUGAGUAACACGUGGAUAACCUACCUAUAAGACUGGGAUAACUUCGGGAAACCGGAGCUAAUACCGGAUAACAUGUUGAACCGCAUGGUUCAACAGUGAAAGACGGUCUUGCUGUCACUUAUAGAUGGAUCCGCGCCGCAUUAGCUAGUUGGUAAGGUAACGGCUUACCAAGGCAACGAUGCGUAGCCGACCUGAGAGGGGGAUCGGCCACACUGGAACUGAGACACGGUCCAGACUCCUACGGGAGGCAGCAGUAGGGAAUCUUCCGCAAUGGGCGAAAGCCUGACGGAGCAACGCCGCGUGAGUGAAGAAGGUCUUCGGAUCGUAAAACUCUGUUAUUAGGGAAGAACAAAUGUGUAAGUAACUAUGCACGUCUUGACGGUACCUAAUCAGAAAGCCACGGCUAACUACGUGCCAGCAGCCGCGGUAAUACGUAGGUGGCAAGCGUUAUCCGGAAUUAUUGGGCGUAAAGCGCGCGUAGGCGGUUUUUUAAGUCUGAUGUGAAAGCCCACGGCUCAACCGUGGAGGGUCAUUGGAAACUGGAAAACUUGAGUGCAGAAGAGGAAAGUGGAAUUCCAUGUGUAGCGGUGAAAUGCGCAGAGAUAUGGAGGAACACCAGUGGCGAAGGCGACUUUCUGGUCUGUAACUGACGCUGAUGUGCGAAAGCGUGGGGAUCAAACAGGAUUAGAUACCCUGGUAGUCCACGCCGUAAACGAUGAGUGCUAAGUGUUAGGGGGUUUCCGCCCCUUAGUGCUGCAGCUAACGCAUUAAGCACUCCGCCUGGGGAGUACGACCGCAAGGUUGAAACUCAAAGGAAUUGACGGGGACCCGCACAAGCGGUGGAGCAUGUGGUUUAAUUCGAAGCAACGCGAAGAACCUUACCAAAUCUUGACAUCCUCUGACCCCUCUAGAGAUAGAGUUUUCCCCUUCGGGGGACAGAGUGACAGGUGGUGCAUGGUUGUCGUCAGCUCGUGUCGUGAGAUGUUGGGUUAAGUCCCGCAACGAGCGCAACCCUUAAGCUUAGUUGCCAUCAUUAAGUUGGGCACUCUAAGUUGACUGCCGGUGACAAACCGGAGGAAGGUGGGGAUGACGUCAAAUCAUCAUGCCCCUUAUGAUUUGGGCUACACACGUGCUACAAUGGACAAUACAAAGGGUAGCGAAACCGCGAGGUCAAGCAAAUCCCAUAAAGUUGUUCUCAGUUCGGAUUGUAGUCUGCAACUCGACUACAUGAAGCUGGAAUCGCUAGUAAUCGUAGAUCAGCAUGCUACGGUGAAUACGUUCCCGGGUCUUGUACACACCGCCCGUCACACCACGAGAGUUUGUAACACCCGAAGCCGGUGGAGUAACCUUUUGGAGCUAGCCGUCGAAGGUGGGACAAAUGAUUGGGG
rnacentral:rRNA from 1 species